CGCUGGGCCGGUGAGGGGCUGG
rnacentral:misc_RNA from 1 species